CCUGCCGGAGGUUACUGCUAUCGAGGUUCGACUAAGCCAUGCGAGUCGAAUGUAGCAAUACAUGGCGUACUGCUCAGUAACACGUGGACAACCUACCCUUUGGUCGGGGAUAAACCCGGGAAACUGGGUAUAAUACCCGCUAGUCCUCGGAAGCUGGAAUGCCCCGAGGACGAAAGCUCCGGCGCCGAAGGAUGGGUCUGCGGCCUAUCAGGUAGUAGUGGGUGUAGCGUACCUACUAGCCUACGACGGGUACGGGUUGUGAGAGCAAGAGCCCGGAGAUGGAUUCUGAGACACGAAUCCAGGCCCUACGGGGUGCAGCAGGCGCGAAAACUUUACAAUGCCGGCAACGGCGAUAAGGGAACCUCGAGUGCCAGGUUACAAAUCUGGCUGUCGUGAUGCCUAAAAAGCAUUGCAUAGCAAGGGCCGGGCAAGACCGGUGCCAGCCGCCGCGGUAACACCGGCGGCUCGAGUGGUAACCGUUAUUAUUGGGUCUAAAGGGCCUGUAGCCGGCCGGAUAAGUCUUUUGGUAAAUCCGGCAGCUCAACUGUCGGGCUUCAGGAGAUACUGUCUGGCUCGAGGCCGGGAGAGGUGAGAGGUACUUCAGGGGUAGGGGUGAAAUCUUGUAAUCCUUGAAGGACCACCAGUGGCGAAGGCGUCACACCAGAACGGACCUGACGGCAAGGGACGAAAGCUAGGGGCACGAACCGGAUUAGAUACCCGGGUAGUCCUAGCCGUAAACGAUACUCGCUAGGUGUCGGCCACGGUGCGACCGUGGUCGGUGCCGUAGGGAAGCCGUGAAGCGAGCCACCUGGGAAGUACGGCCGCAAGGCUGAAACUUAAAAGGAAUUGGCGGGGGAGCACCACAA
rnacentral:rRNA from 1 species